rnacentral:rRNA from 1 species
UACGUAGGUGGCAAGCGUUUGUCCGGAUUUACUGGGCGUAAAGAGCGCGCAGGCGGUCGUUUAAGUCGAAUGUGAAAGCCCCCCGGCUCAACUGGGGAGGGUCAUUCGAUACUGAUCGACUUGAAGGCAGGAGAGAGAAGUGGAAUUCCCGGUGUAGUGGUGAAAUGCGUAGAUAUCGGGAGGAACACCAGUGGCGAAGGCGACUUCUUGGCCUGUUCUUGACGCUGAGGCGCGGAAAGCUGGGGGGAGCAAACGGG